UACGGAGGGUGCAAGCGUUACCCGGAAUCACUGGGCGUAAAGGGCGUGUAGGCGGGAUGUUAAGUCUGGCUUUAAAGACAGCGGCUCAACCGCUGGAAUGGGCUGGGUACUGGCGUUCUAGACCUCUGGAGAGAGAACUGGAAUUCCUGGUGUAGCGGUGGAAUGCGUAGAUACCAGGAGGAACACCAAUGGCGAAGGCAGGUUCUUGGACAGAAGGUGACGCUGAGGCGCGAAAGUGUGGGGAGCGAACCGG
rnacentral:rRNA from 1 species